GACGAAGGUGGCGAGCGUUGUUCGGAAUUACUGGGCGUAAGGGCUCGUAGGUGGCCAACUAAGUCAGACGUGAAAUCCCUCGGCUUAACCGGGGAACUGCGUCUGAUACUGGAUGGCUUGAGUUCGGGAGAGGGAUGCGGAAUUCCAGGUGUAGCGGUGAAAUGCGUAGAUAUCUGGAGGAACACCGGUGGCGAAGGCGGCAUCCUGGACCGACACUGACACUGAGGAGCGAAAGCCAGGGGAGCAAACGGG
rnacentral:rRNA from 1 species